rnacentral:misc_RNA from 1 species
AACGCACAUUGCUCCCCUUGGUAUUCCGGGCGGCAUGCCUGUUCGAGCGUCAUUUCAACCCUCAAGCAUAGCUUGGUCUUGGGCCCUGCCGGCAACGGCUGGCCUUAAAGCUAGUGGCGGUGCCGUCGAGCUCUACGCGUAGUAGUUAAACCCUCGCGUGUGAGUCCCGGUGGACGCUGGCCAGCAACCCCCUAUUUUUCUAUGGUUGACCUCGGAUCAGGUAGGGAUACCCGCUGAACUUAA